GCGUCGGUGGUUCAGUGGUAGAAUACUCGCCUGCCACGCGGGUGGCCCAGGUUCGAUUCCCGGCCGACGCA
rnacentral:tRNA from 3 species